rnacentral:rRNA from 1 species
CACCUCUAGCAUUUCCAGUAUUAGAGGCACUGCCUGCCCAGUGACAUCUGUUUAAACGGCCGCGGUAUCCUAACCGUGCAAAGGUAGCAUAAUCACUUGUUCCCUAAAUAGGGACUUGUAUGAAUGGCCACACGAGGGUUUUACUGUCUCUUACUUCCAAUCAGUGAAAUUGACCUUCCCGUGAAGAGGCGGGAAUGACUAAAUAAGACGAGAAGACCCUAUAGGGCUUUAAUUAACUGAUUCACAAAAAACAACACGCAAACCUAACCUUCAGGGACAACAAAACUUUUGAUUGAAUCAGCAAUUUCGGUUGGGGUGACCUCGGAGAACAAAACAACUUCCGAGUGAUUUAAAUCCAGACUAACCAGUCAAAAUAUAUAAUCACUUAUUGAUCCAAACCAUUGAUCAACGGAACAAGUUACCCUAGGGAUAACAGCGCAAUCCUAUUCCAGAGUCCAUAUCGACAAUUAGGGUUUACGACCUCGAUGUUGGAUCAAGACAUCCUAAUGGUGUAACCGCUAUUAAGGGUUCGUUUGUUCAACGAUUAAAGUCUU